GUGUUUAUUUGGCCCUCACAGGGUGUGCAUUCCAGCACAGUUUCUAGGCAUUUACAGGAAUCAUUAAGUAAGUAGAGGACACACCUUUAUUCCCAAGUAAUUAUUAUACUUCAUUGUAAGACUAAUCCCAGGGAGACUCAGGAAACACACUAACAAACACAUAACCAGCUGCAGCCACCGACAGUGACUCUCAUGAUACCCCAGUGGUCCAUGUCCACAUGCAGAGGAAGUGAACUGAAGUUCUGGAGGACUCAGGAAGCAAAACUAGGCUUACGUGUACUGAUAUUUAAACCCAGAGCUCACACAUUUAAGGCAAAUGCUCUACCACUGAAUACAUUCCCACCCUGGGCUAAAUACUUUUGCCUGGGAAAGCUUAAGUUUUUGCCUGCCAGGUAUUUGUAAUUCUCCUACACUGACGUAGACAAUGAUGUAUUCAUAAAUCGGCUCCCCUCAAAACAGCAUCAAUUUGAAAUAACUGGUAACUUGUGUGGCAUAAACACUUCCAGUUUCAAAGUUCCAAGAUUCAACACCUAGCUCCACAAAUUACUGAAUAUUUAACAAUAAGAUCUCAUGCUCAAAGCCAGCUUUAGCCAUGUAAAUAAUACGAUCAUCACUUUUUGCACAACUUGCAGCAGCAUUUUCACUAACUGCUCGCUCACUCAAUCCAUCAUGGGAUUCCUCCAGCUGUGGGGCACAGACCAUCGUAACAUAUUUCAGCGCGGAAUCGAUGAUGGGUGAAAAUUGUUCUCUCUGUGAAUCCCGGCAGAGGUAAAGCUAAAUAAGCCAUUUGCUGAAUUACUUAGAACCAAGUAUUUAUUGCAUCACAAACACAUUAUUUCCUCCUUGCCAGGAAAUGUAAUAGAGCCUAGACCCCAAUUGCUGUUUGUUCUCUGCCUCCAGUGUAGACUAAAUGGGAUGGAUAUUCAAUAAGCUGUACUAAGCUGAAGAACACAUUUUGGAAAUGGACAUAGUCCAAGCACUGCAGGAUGGAAUGGUGAUCAGGAUGGAGCUGGGUAGAUGGCCGAUUCCAGCUUGGACUUCUU